GACGAACGCUGGCGGCGUGCUCAACACAUGCAAGUCGAACGGGCCUGUCUUCUUUUUUGGGGGGUGGGUUGAGUGGCGAACGGGUGAGUAUCACGUGAGUAACCUGCCCUUCGGUCCUGGAUAACCGCUUGAAAGGGCGGCUAAUACGGGGUGGUCCGGUUGGUCCGCAUGGGCUGGUCGGGAUAGAUUCACUGUUUUUGGUGUUUCGGCGGGGGAUGGGCUCGCGGCCUAUCAGCUUGUUGGUGGGGUGAUGGCCUACCAAGGCGGUGACGGGUAGCCGGCCUGAGAGGGUGGGCGGCCACACUGGGACUGAGAUACGGCCCAGACUCCUGCGGGAGGCAGCAGUGGGGGGUAUUGCACAAUGGGCGGAAGCCUGAUGCAGCGACGUCGCGUGAGGGAUGGAGGCCUUCGGGUUGUGAACCUCUGUUUCCGGUGGUGAAGGCCCUGUCCGUGUGGUGGGGUUGACGGUAGCCGGGGAUGAAGCGCCGGCUAACUACGUG
rnacentral:rRNA from 1 species